rnacentral:rRNA from 1 species
AACGAACGCUGGCGGCAGGCUUAACACAUGCAAGUCGAACGCAUCGCAAGAUGAGUGGCAGACGGGUGAGUAACGCGUGGGAAUCUACCCAGUUCUACGGAACAACUGAGGGAAACUCCAGCUAAUACCGUAUACGCCCUACGGGGGAAAGAUUUAUCGGGAUUGGAUGAGCCCGCGUUGGAUUAGCUAGUUGGUGGGGUAAUGGCCUACCAAGGCGACGAUCCAUAGCUGGUCUGAGAGGAUGAUCAGCCACACUGGGACUGAGACACGGCCCAGACUCCUACGGGAGGCAGCAGUGGGGAAUAUUGGACAAUGGGCGCAAGCCUGAUCCAGCCAUGCCGCGUGAGUGAUGAAGGCCUUAGGGUUGUAAAGCUCUUUCAGUAGGGAAGAUAAUGACGGUACCUACAGAAGAAGCCCCGGCUAACUUCGUGCCAGCCGCCGCCGUAAAAC